GCGGCGUGCUUAACACAUGCAAGUCGAACGCUGAAGCUUGGUGCUUGCACUGGGUGGAUGAGUGGCGAACGGGUGAGUAAUACGUGAGUAACCUGCCCUUGACUCUGGGAUAAGCCUGGGAAACUGGGUCUAAUACUGGAUACGACAUGUCACCGCAUGGUGGUGUGUGGAAAGGGUUUUACUGGUUUUGGAUGGGCUCACGGCCUAUCAGCUUGUUGGUGGGGUAAUGGCUCACCAAGGCGACGACGGGUAGCCGGCCUGAGAGGGUGACCGGCCACACUGGGACUGAGACACGGCCCAGACUCCUACGGGAGGCAGCAGUGGGGAAUAUUGCACAAUGGGCNNNAGCCUGAUGCAGCGACGCCGCGUGAGGGAUGACGGCCUUCGGG
rnacentral:rRNA from 1 species